CCUACGGGGUGCAGCAGUGGGGAAUAUUGCACAAUGGGCGCAAGCCUGAUGCAGCCAUGCCGCGUGUAUGAAGAAGGCCUUAGGGUUGUAAAGUACUUUCAGUUGGGAGGAAGGCGUUGAUGCUAAUAUCAUCAACCAUUGACGUUACCAACAGAAGAAGCACCGGCUAACUCCGUGCCAGCAGCCGCGGUAAUACGGAGGGUGCAAGCGUUAAUCGGAAUUACUGGGCGUAAAGCGCACGCAGGCGGUUGAUUAAGUUAGAUGUGAAAUCCCCGGGCUUACCCUGGGAAUGGCAUCUAAGACUGGUCAGCUAGAGUCUUGUAGAGGGGGGUAGAAUUCCAUGUGUAGCGGUGAAAUGCGUAGAGAUGUGGAGGAAUACCGGUGGCGAAGGCGGCCCCCUGGACAAAGACUGACGCUCAGGUGCAAAAGCGUGGGGAGCAAACAGGAUUAGAUACCCGCGUAGUC
rnacentral:rRNA from 1 species